GCUGGAAUCUCUACUGAAAAAUGAGAGCAAGCUCAAAACCAACAUGUUUUGCUGUGGUCAGUUGAACGUUCCUGAGGAAGUUUGUUCCAUCAUCAAUGUAACAUCCCCAAGAGAGCUGUCCCUAGUCAUCAUUGGGCCCUGUUGUUGACAGUGGAGAGCCCAGUUCUGCCAGAGUGCUGGAGACCCUCUGCUCCAUGUCUAAGGAAGAGUGGAGGACAGGCAACAUCACGCCGUGUACAGAAGCAGACAAAGCAGCUCCAGCCUGUGUGUCAGAGCUGCCAUCCACCUCAUGUGAACACCUACUGGGAAAUUCGGACCACCUGGGGAGGUAGC